rnacentral:rRNA from 1 species
AACGAACGCUGGCGGCAUGCCUAACACAUGCAAGUCGAACGAGACCUUCGGGUCUAGUGGCGCACGGGUGCGUAACGCGUGGGAACCUGCCCUUAGGUUCGGAAUAACUCCCCGAAAGGGGUGCUAAUACCGGAUAAUGUCUUCGGACCAAAGAUUUAUCGCCUUUGGAUGGGCCCGCGUUGGAUUAGCUAGUUGGUAGGGUAAAAGCCUACCAAGGCGACGAUCCAUAGUUGGUCUGAGAGGAUGAUCAGCCACACUGGGACUGAGACACGGCCCAGACUCCUACGGGAGGCAGCAGUGGGGAAUAUUGGACAAUGGGCGAAAGCCUGAUCCAGCAAUGCCGCGUGAGUGAUGAAGGCCUUAGGGUUGUAAAGCUCUUUUACCCGGGAUGAUAAUGACAGUACCGGGAGAAUAAGCGCCGGCUAACUCCGUG